GGGGGUGUAGCUCAAUUGGUAGAGCGUCGGUCUCCAAAACCGAAGGCUGGGGGUUCGAUUCCCUCCGCCCCUGCCA
rnacentral:tRNA from 1 species